rnacentral:rRNA from 1 species
CAGUCGCCGCGGGAAUACGUAGGUGGCAAGCGUCGUCCGGAAUUAUUGGGCGUAAAGGGCUCGCAGGCGGUUUCUUAAGUCUGAUGUGAAAGCCCCCGGCUCAACCGGGGAGGGUCAUUGGAAACUGGGAAACUUGAGUGCAGAAGAGGAGAGUGGAAUUCCACGUGUAGCGGUGAAAUGCGUAGAGAUGUGGAGGAACACCAGUGGCGAAGGCGACUCUCUGGUCUGUAACUGACGCUGAGGAGCGAAAGCGUGGGGAGCGAACAGGAUUAGAUACCCCUGUAGUCCCUGUCUCUUAUAC